AUCACUUCUCGGCCUUUUGGCUAAGAUCAAGUGUAGACUGGAUACUGUUACUCAUAUUUGCAGAUCUGGCAAAUUAAUUUGUCAGUCUGCUUUGUGCUAAUUAAGGUAUCAGAGACAAACUACAUCUA
ensembl:snRNA U2 U2 spliceosomal RNA